rnacentral:lncRNA from 1 species
AUGGCAGCAAGUAGGUGUGUGCUCAAAGACAGAAUAUCGAGCUGUCAGAGUGAGAAGAGUCAAAAGCAUCAUUCCCAGACUUCCAGAGUCCAUGCUUUAUCUACACAGCUUGAAAUCUACAGGUCCUAAAAUCUCAAACUUUUAAGGUUGGCACAGUGAUCCGCCCCCUUUUAUGAUUUCAUAUACUGGAAAAUCUGAAAAAUGGCACUCUGAACCAUUCCUACACCCAAGCCCUUUCUAACUGAGAUAGUCACUUUGUAGUCACCCUUAUUAGAGAUCAUGAAUGAGAAGCAAUAGCUAACGAUUUCUAGGUCCAGAAUGGCCAGAACAAACUUAAUUUAUCUCUGAACAGUCAGUCUGUGCUGUUUGUGGAAACCCACCAUUUGUUUCUAGAGCAUCUGUGCAUCCUAUGACUAAGUUAUUCUGUGACUACUGCUGUCCAUAUAGCCAUAGGUGAAUCCUUUUCUUAGCCUCCUACUGGGAAGUAUCCAAUGUGGAGAGUCACAAAUUUUCACUGAGCACUUUCCAUCCACAGUCUCAUUUGAUGUCUCUUAAUGACCCGGGGCAGGUACCCCACCCAUUUCAAACCAGAGAUCCCAGGUUCUUGGUGCUGGAGUAAGUCUCCUGAAACUACUUGAGUAGGAGGCAGCAGAAGGCUCUGCUCAUUCUCAUGUGUUCAUUCUUUCAUUCCCUACUUUUUGGUACAUCCCCACAGACUGCUCCAGCAGGCUAGUCCCCAAGUUGAGGAAAAGGUAGACAAGGCACCAUCUUAUUCCAGCUAGAUAGGAGUCAGAGGAUAGAACAUGAAGUUCUGUCUUGGGUGAUAUAUAAUUUCUUUUUCCAUUGUUGAUAAAAGGCAUGUUAAAGGAAGAGACUUUCUUAUUCAUAAUUAGAGGAAUAUGCAAUAUGGUGGGUGGGAAUGGCAAGUCUGUGGAGCAUCCUGGUCUGUAGCAAUGACAAGUAUUCUUUUGGCUUCCUCUUUUCCCCCCCAUUUUAUUUGAUCUGGGGCCCUACCUAAUGGCACAGUGCUGACCACAUCAGGAUAGGUCCUCUUCUGUUCAGCAUCUGGAAACAAUCUCCCAGACAUACCCAGAGAGUGCUGGAUACUCUUGAAGGACAAGGGAGCUGUAAAAAAUUUCAGAGACAGGCUUCCUGAAAAGGAACAAUGUCUUAGCUGAAAUAUUAAGGAAUGGUUACAUGCUAUGUGUAGGAAACUGUAAGUAAAGAGACCAGGUGAGAGAAAGAAUAAACUUACUUGGAGUUUAAACUCCAAGUUUUCCAUCUGGUGUAGUCAACCAUGGUCUGAAAAUAUUGUUGUUGUGCAGUGAGGAAUUAAGAUCCUUUGAGAUGGGAGGAGGGGGGAACUGAAGCAAAGAAAAGGAGGGGGACAGGCAUUCCUAAAAGUAAUAUUCUGAAAUAAAAUGUAUUUGUUCUAAUUUAUCCAUUAUUGUUAAUCUCUUACUAUGCUAACUCAAAGUUAAAUGUUGUCAUAGGAAUGUACAUAUAGGAACAGCUUGGUGUGUGCACAGAGUGUGUGUACUUAUAGGAAAAGCAUAGUGUAUAUACCGAAUGGGUGUGUACAGAUAGGAAAAUCAUAGUGUGUAUACAGAGGGGUGUGUACAGAUAGGAAUAGCAUGAUGUGUGCACAGAGUAGAAGUGUACAUACAGGAAAAGAAUGGUAUGUGCAUAGAGUGGGUAUGUCUAAAUAGGAACAGAAUGAUGUUUGCACACAGUGGGUGUAUACAUAUAGGAGCAGGAUGGUGUGUGCACACAGUGGGUAUAUACAUUUAGGAGGAGCAUGGUGUGUGCACACAGUGGGCAAGCACAUAUAGGAAAAGCAUGACUGCACAGGGUGCAAUAUUGUGCAUGGUUCACUAUCACCUGGAAUAUUUGUGCUUAUCUCAUGCUGAUAAGGGGUUCUGUAGCAACCAAAAUUCAUUGAAUUUGCCUGGAUGUGCAGUGCCACUGUGAACUGCAGUGGCUGAAGCUACAGAGGAGUAGCUGGUGCAGUAAAUCAGACUCUGGGGUGGGCAUAUCCUAGGGCACCACGAGGAGCUGUCUGAAAGGCAGAGGGUGGCCUCCGGGUGCCAGUCAGGUGUGGUGAGACACAUUCCAUUGGUGCAUUGGAAAGGACAGGCUGAUCACAGCAGGGCCUGUCACAGUCUGCUGAAGCAGGACCUGUAACCCAAGUAGCAGGAGGAACUUUUAUUCAGCCUGUGGAGUGAUGCUGUGAAGGAAUUGAAACCCUUCAAGAGCAGAGCUAAAAACAGUGGGGGGAGAGGAAGUGUAAUUUGCUGUCUUCCAGUUUCCUUCAGAUCCCGCCUGCUGCUGACCUGUUAACCAUCUCAGAGCCUGGGCCCCACAUAGACUGGGCAUCCCCACAAAUCAAGGCAAGCUUUGAUUUCAUUAAAAUUGUAUGCCCUUUUCCCUUCUGCUAAUCCAACUCUUGGGCCUUAAAAACAAGCUGCUUUUUUUUCUUUAAGUUUUGAAUAAUUCUAGUGUUUACACAACCAAAAUUUAGUAUAAAAUUUUAAAUUCCUGAAACACAAAAUGUAGCUCAGGAUCCUUUCCUAGUGGCCUGAGAGUACAAAUCAAACACACACUCAAAGGUAAGGCAAAGAAGCUUCCAGAAAGCGGAAAUACUUCUGUCAAGUAGGCACCUAGUAUCAAAGUGGGUCAAAAUAGCUCAAUGUGUGGACGGGCAUAGCUGAAUCUUUGCUUACACACUUUCCCCUAGCCCUUUCUACAUAACACUUUCAAGAAACUCCUCUGAGAGAUCAUGCCAUCUUCCAGCAAAAGGUGGUGAGUGGACUUCAGUAGGCACUGAUGGGAAAGAAUCCAGUGCUAAGGGUGUGGGUAGACCUCAUGCAGACCCAGGUCCGCCCAGUCACUCGAUAACCCUGAACUUGGCUGCCUCACUCUUUGCUGAGGUCCCUCAGGUGGCCUCAUUGUUUUUAUUACCAUGGUAGAAAGAGUAUGUGAAGCCUUGCCUGGCUGGCAGUCUCGUUGCCAUGGAAACCUCCAUUCCACACACCUGAUUCACACAUCACGCUCCGCUAAAUCCAGACAGAGGUCACAGACUGGCAUUUGCCCUUUGUCUCCCCUUCUUGUGUUUUCCAGGCACUGAAUGGAUAGAAAGAGAUGGGCAGUCAGCAGCCUUGCAAGAAAGCUUUGCUGUGAAGAAGUUUGUGAAUUCCAG